AUGCGUAACAAACCUUCAGUUCUGGUGGUUGCAUUCCUAUUGGGUUAUCUCUUGUCUCAGCUGGACGGUUUCACAGUUGAAGCUUAUUAUUGCAAAGCUGAUGUUGACUUGACCUUAGUCCUUUUGUGUCAACCUUCAAUAUGUCAGAUUUGGCAUUCAUCCAAGAAUCUUCAGAGUUUCAGUCAGGUCAGAGCUGCCCAUAACACACUGGGCCAGCUAAGUUCAGAAACAUGGCAUCUUGGAUGGUUCAACUGGUCAAAAGCUAAAGAAAGUCUGAAGUUACGGGUGGCUUACCGAGUCGAGCAAGAUGUUGGAGGCCUUGAAGUCGCGGUAGAUCACCGGCGGGUCGGCAUCGUGGAGAAAGGCAAGGCCCUUGGCCGCGCCGACAGCGAUCUUCAUCCUUGUCAUCCACGGGAGAGAGCCAUUGGUACCUGA
rnacentral:rRNA from 1 species